rnacentral:lncRNA from 1 species
UACAAAUCUUGCUGUUUCGGAUAUUCUUUUGUGUUUACUAGCUGUACCGUUUACUCCAAUAUCAUAUUACUUGCAAUCAUGGGUAUUUGGAGAGUUUUUUUGUCAUUUAGUAUCAAUGACCUUAGCCAUUUGUGUGUACGUUUCAACACUAACAUCUACCAUUAUUGCAGUUAUUCGAUAUAGGGCAAUUGUAUAUCCUUUAAAACCGCCAUUGCAGAUUUCCAACUGUUUUCGGAUUAUUUUUAUCAUCUGGCUAAUAUCUAUUUCUAUAUCAGUUCCUCUUGGAGUUUACUCGAGCCUAAAUGAAAAUAGAGACGGAUCUAUCAAUUGUGUGGAAAGAUGGCCGACCGAUCAAUCGUCACGAAUAUUCAGCAUAACUUGUCUCCUGCUUCAAUAUAUUGUGCCUUGCUUUAUAAUAAUGUUUAGUUAUACAAGCGUUUCAUUAGUUUUGAAAAGGCGUAUACAGUCUAAUUAUUUAAAUCAAUCAAAGACUAAAAAUCAAGAAGAGAUAGAUAUGAAAAGAAAGCAGCGUACGAAUAAGAUGUUGGUUACUAUGAUUACUAUUUUUGUUUGUUGUUGGCUGCCUCUAAAUAUAACAAAUAUUUUGGCUGAGUAUAUAUCGUCUUUCUCAAACUGGUACUACUUCACAUUAUGUUUCUUUAGUGCUCACAUAGUAGCAAUGAGUUCUGUGAUUUACAAUCCAUUUCUUUACGGCUGUAUGAGUGACAAUUUCAAAAAAGAAUUUAUGUCACUUAUUUAAAGUGGUGUUAAUUAAUGAGUGAAUAUUCAAAAUCAGCAAUAUGUCGUUUAACAAUAUCUGAACAACAUGACUAUUGAAGACACUAAAUAUCAGAGAACAUGCAUAAGAUAAACGUUAUUAGACUGAAUGUAAUUAUAAGUGUUGUUCGCUGUCCAGUUGAAUUAUUGUCGAUAGCAUUUACUCCGAAAUUACAAAGACAAAAUAUCAUUGACCCUUGACCCUGUCAUAUUGGAAUACUUAUAAGGUAGGCAGACCCCUUUAUUAUACAGUUUGAUUAAAAUUUCAAAAAUAGACAUGUGUGGUAAUUUUAUACCAUAAGGCAAAUUUUAGUUGAAUGAAGUUUUGUAAGUUUUCUUUUUGUUGCCAAGGCGUUUCAAGAUGAAGUCGUUUGCCGUGUUACCAUAAGGUUAUCUUAUAAUUGUUUUAACAGAUUGUAUUCACUCAUGGGGCG